rnacentral:rRNA from 1 species
GAUGAACGCUGGCGGCGUGCCUAAUACAUGCAAGUAGAACGCUGAAGCUUGGUGCUUGCACCGAGCGGAUGAGUUGCGAACGGGUGAGUAACGCGUAGGUAACCUGCCUCUUAGCGGGGGAUAACUAUUGGAAACGAUAGCUAAUACCGCAUAAAAGUCGACAUUGCAUGAUGUUGACUUGAAAGGUGCAAAUGCAUCACUAAGAGAUGGACCUGCGUUGUAUUAGCUAGUUGGUGAGGUAACGGCUCACCAAGGCGACGAUACAUAGCCGACCUGAGAGGGUGAUCGGCCACACUGGGACUGAGACACGGCCCAGACUCCUACGGGAGGCAGCAGUAGGGAAUCUUCGGCGAUGGGGGCAACCCUGACCGAGCAACGCCGCGUGAGUGAAGAAGGUUUUCGGAUCGUAAAGCUCUGUUGUAAGAGAAGAACGAGUGUGAGAGUGGAAAGUCACACUGUGACG